CCUACGGGGAGCAGCAGUGGGGAAUAUUGGACAAUGGGCGAAAGCCUGAUCCAGCCAUGCCGCGUGUGUGAAGAAGGCCUUCGGGUUGUAAAGCACUUUCAGUGGGGAAGAAAGCCUUGGGGCUAAUACCCUCGAGGAAGGACAUCACCCACAGAAGAAGCACCGGCUAACUCCGUGCCAGCAGCCGCGGUAAUACGGAGGGUGCGAGCGUUAAUCGGAAUUACUGGGCGGAAAGCGCGCGUAGGCGGUCUGAUAAGCCGGUUGUGAAAGCCCCGGGCUCAACCUGGGAACGGCAUCCGGAACUGUCAGGCUAGAGUGCAGGAGAGGAAGGUAGAAUUCCCGGUGUAGCGGUGAAAUGCGUAGAGAUCGGGAGGAAUACCAGUGGCGAAGGCGGCCUUCUGGACUGACACUGACGCUGAGGUGCGAAAGCGUGGGUAGCAAACAGGAUUAGAUACCCUGGUAGUC
rnacentral:rRNA from 1 species